rnacentral:rRNA from 1 species
AUUGAACGCUGGCGGCAGGCUUAACACAUGCAAGUCGAGCGGGGUUUUCGGACCUAGCGGCGGACGGGUGAGUAAUGCGUAGGAAGCUGCCCGAUAGAGGGGGAUACCAGUUGGAAACGACUGUUAAUACCGCAUAAUGUCUACGGACCAAAGUGUGGGACCUUCGGGCCACAUGCUAUCGGAUGCGCCUACGUGGGAUUAGCUAGUUGGUGAGGUAAUGGCUCACCAAGGCGACGAUCUCUAGCUGGUUUGAGAGGACGAUCAGCCACACUGGAACUGAGACACGGUCCAGACUCCUACGGGAGGCAGCAGUGGGGAAUAUUGGACAAUGGGCGCAAGCCUGAUCCAGCCAUGCCGCGUGUGUGAAGAAGGCCUUCGGGUUGUAAAGCACUUUCAGCGAGGGGGAAGGGUGGUGUGUUAAUAGCACAUCAUUUUGACGUUACUCGCAGAAGAAGCACCGGCUAACUCUGUGCCAGCAGCCGCCGUAAGAC